rnacentral:rRNA from 1 species
GACGAACGCUGGCGGCGUGCCUAAUACAUGCAAGUCGAACGCUUCCUACCGGUGCUUGCACCGGGAAAGAAGAGUGGCGGACGGGUGAGUAACACGUGGGUAACCUACCUACAAGCGGGGGAUAACAUUCGGAAACGGAUGCUAAUACCGCAUAGAUCUUUUUGUCUCCUGGCAGAAAGAAGAAAGACGGUUUCGGCUGUCACUUGUAGAUGGACCCGCGGCGCAUUAGUUAGUUGGUGAGGUAAUGGCUCACCAAGGCGAUGAUGCGUAGCCGACCUGAGAGGGUGAUCGGCCACACUGGGACUGAGACACGGCCCAGACCCCUACGGGAGGCAGCAGUAGGGAAUCUUCCGCAAUGGACGAAAGUCUGACGGAGCAACGCCGCGUGAGUGAAGAAGGUUUUCGGAUCGUAAAACUCUGUUGUUAGAGAAGAACAAGGAUGAGAGUAACUGCUCGUCCCUUGACGGUAUCUAACCAGAAAGCCAUGGCUAACUACGUGCCAGCCGCCGCAGUAA